CCAACGUCAUUUUACUUGGCAAGGACCUAAUCGACCCGCAUGCAGAUAAAACAUGAGUUUUGAUUGGCUAAGACAAAAGGGCAAGCUAAUGGCCAAAAUGAAAACAUGAAGAGUUUUUCAAGGAAUGAGAGAAGGUUACUUUGUAAGUGCUUCGAGGAGUGAUGUAUGUUUAGUCAAAAAGUGUUGUUGCAAGUGUUGCUAGGAUUGAUGCAAGUUUAUGUAUUUAGUAUUUAAAUUGACAACUUAUGUAUGAAUUUUGGUUUACUAUUGUUAAUAUUAUUAAUUUUGUUUUU
rnacentral:lncRNA from 1 species